AUGUUUGAAAAUCAGUCGGCCGUCGUGAGGUUUUCGUGAGCGCAUCCUGCUGGUGAAGCAGAGCUACGACAGUUUACGAGCCGUUUUUCCCCCAACCUCGCGCAGUGCGCACGCGCAAACAAGUAGAUUCCGCUUCCGUUUUCCUCUCGGACAACACAGAACACAACACAGAACUAUGGCGGCAACACGUGUUUCAUGGAGUCAGUCGACGGAGGAGCAGCUCGUGGAACUUUGGCAAGCUCACCCCAGUCUCUUUGAUGUUGGCUCCCAAAGCUACCACAACAGGAAUAAAAGGGAGAAGAGUUGGGUCGAUAUUGCUACCCAAUUACAGCUACCUGGUACGUUCCUGUCUUGACCAACAGCAUUUUGUUUUGUUUGUUUUUUGUGUGUGUGUGUGUGUGUGUGUGUGUGUGAAAAAAAAAAAAGAGAGAGAGAAAGAGAGUUACUGGCAAUAUACGUGAAAAAAUAUACUUUUCUUUUGCAGUGAAUGAGGUUAAAACCCGUGUGGCAUCACUCCGGACGCAAUACGGAAAAUUGAUGAGACCCAAGCCCAGCGGCAGUGCCCAGAAACCACUGACUCCAAAGCAGAAGUGGAUACUGAAGCACCUAGACUUUUUGAAGGGUCACGUCAUCCACAGAACUACAGAAUCUACACUGAGACCUGGCGCUGAGUCAGAGGACACUUUUGAGGGAGAGGAGGAUCCAUCCACUGUUGAAAGUGAAGCAGAUGUGUCUUCAGAUACCAUCAGUCCAGUGUCAGUGCCAGAAGAGGAAAGCAGUGUGCCUGUGACAUGUCAGCCGGUGCAAAAACAAUGGGUCCCAAAAAAAAAACCUCAAUCUACUCAGCAAAGACUUGAAAUGACCAAACUUUCACUGCUCCAGCAAGUACAAAAAACUCUCUCAUCUACUGGCGACCCUGCGGAGCUGUUUGGACAGCAAGUAGCCACAGAGAUAAGAAUCAUCGAAGACAAAGUAGAUUAUGCAAGGCUUAAAAGAAAAAUCAUGGAUUUGAUUUAUGAUGCACAGGAAGCACAGGCUUCCCGUGCAUCAUAUACACAGGAGGCCUCUGCCUCCUCUGUAUAUGAUGCACGGGAGGCAGGAAGUCAGCUGCCUAGGCCAUCAUUGUAUUCCGCACAAGACUACCAGGCCCCAUCUACCCAGCCUAUGUCUUUUACAACAAUGUUAAAUUCUGAUUAGCUGGUUUGUAAAAAAUAAAUGUGUCAAGAGAGAUCAAAGCUCUUUGUGACAGAAACCACUUUGGUUUUGGAGAAUUUCCAAAUUUUGCAUUUCUCUAAAUAUCUGAAGCUAAUACUUUUAGUUUAUUCUUUACAACAUAGAUUUGUUUUAAUCUACAUGUUCAGUUUCUACACACAAGUUUGUCUGGGGUACGAAAGAGAACAAUCGAACUGUUCUUGAUGUGCCAUCUACUUGAAUGUAGCACUGUUUGCACAUUUUGUAAAUAAAGGUUUUUCUGAA